GACGAACGCUGGCGGCGGGCUUAACACAUGCAAGUCGAACGGAAAGGCCCUGCUUUUGUGGGGUGCUCGAGUGGCGAACGGGUGAGUAACACGUGAGUAACCUGCCCUUGACUUUGGGAUAACUUCAGGUAACUGGGGCUAAUACUGGAUAGUAGCUCCUGCUGCAUGGUGGGGGUUGGAAAGUUUCGGCGGUUGGGGAUGGACUCGCGGCUUAUCAGCUUGUUGGUGGGGUAGUGGCUUACCAAGGCUUUGACGGGUAGCCGGCCUGAGAGGGUGACCGGCCACAUUGGGACUGAGAUACGGCCCAGACUCCUACGGGAGGCAGCAGUGGGGAAUAUUGCACAAUGGGCGGAAGCCUGAUGCAGCAACGCCGCGUGCGGGAUGACGGCCUUCGGGUUGUAAACCGCGUUCGCCUGUGACGAAGCGUGAGUGACGGUAAUGGGUAAAGAAGCACCGGCUAACUACGUG
rnacentral:rRNA from 1 species